AUGAACGCUAGCGACAGGCUUAACACAUGCAAGUCGAGGGGCAGCGGGGGAUAAGCUUGCUUUUCCUGCCGGCGACCGGCGCACGGGUGAGUAACACGUAUGCAACCUGCCCCUGUCAGAGGGAUAAUCCGGAGAAAUCCGGUCUAAUAUCGCAUAAAGCGUUUGCGGGGCAUCCUGCGAGCGCCAAAGGAGUAAUCCGGACAGGGAUGGGCAUGCGGCGCAUUAGCUAGUUGGGGGGGUAACGGCCCACCAAGGCGACGAUGCGUAGGGGUUCUGAGAGGAAGGUCCCCCACAUUGGUACUGAGACACGGACCAAACUCCUACGGGAGGCAGCAGUGAGGAAUAUUGGUCAAUGGGCGGAAGCCUGAACCAGCCAAGUCGCGUGAGGGAAGACGGCCCUAUGGGUUGUAAACCUCUUUUGCCGGGGAGCAAAAGCGCCGUGCGCGGUGCUAUGAGAGUACCCGGAGAAAAAGCAUCGGCUAACUCCGUGCCAGCAGCCGCGGUAAUACGGAGGAUGCGAGCGUUAUCCGGAUUUAUUGGGUUUAAAGGGUGCGUAGGCGGACAGUUAAGUCAGCGGUCAAAACGGGCGGCUCAACCGCCUGCCGCCGUUGAAACUGGCAGUCUAGAGUGGGCGAGAAGUACGCGGAAUGCGCGGUGUAGCGGUGAAAUGCAUAGAUAUUGCGCAGAACUCCGAUUGCGAAGGCAGCGUACCGGCGCCCGACUGACGCUGAGGCACGAAAGCGUGGGGAUCGAACAGGAUUAGAUACCCUGGUAGUCCACGCAGUAAACGAUGGACACUAUCUGUUCGGGUCGAAUGGGAUCUGAGUGGCACAGCGAAAGCGUUAAGUGUCCCACCUGGGGAGUACGCCGGCAACGGUGAAACUCAAAGGAAUUGACGGGGGCCCGCACAAGCGGUGGAGUAUGUGGUUUAAUUCGACGCAACGCGAAGAACCUUACCAAGUCUUGACAUCCUGCUGACCGUUCCUUAAUCGGAACUUUCCUUCGGGACAGCAGAGACAGGUGGUGCAUGGUUGUCGUCAGCUCGUGCCGUGAGGUGUCGGCUUAAGUGCCAUAACGAGCGCAACCCCCAUCCGCAGUUGCCAGCAGGUAAAGCUGGGGACUCUGCGGAGACUGCCGGCGCAAGCUGAGAGGAAGGCGGGGAUGACGUCAAAUCAGCACGGCCCUUACGUCCGGGGCGACACACGUGUUACAAUGGCAGGGACAGAGGGAAGCCACCGGGCGACCGGGCGCGGACCCCGAAACCCUGUCUCAGUUCGGAUCGGAGUCUGCAACUCGACUCCGUGAAGCUGGAUUCGCUAGUAAUCGCGCAUCAGCCAUGGCGCGGUGAAUACGUUCCCGGGCCUUGUACACACCGCCCGUCAAGCCAUGGAAGCCGGGAGUGCCUGAAGUGCGUGACCGCAAGGAGCGCCCUAGGGUAAAACCGGUGACUGGGGCU
rnacentral:rRNA from 1 species